AACAGUUUAAUAAUUAAUAUAGUGUCUGUUUAUUUGGGGUUAAUGGCUGUGGGACCAGGCUGGAGAGAAAACCAGCAACAUCUCCCCUAAGGAUGGGUAUACCACACAACCCUACAGGACAAGCAGUCAUCGAAAGGUCUAACAGGACACUUAAGGAGAUGCUCCAUAGGCAAGCUGGUAAGUCGAAACCCCCCAAACAUAGAUUACAUAAUGCCUUAUUAACGCUAAACUUUCUUAAUGCCAAUGACAUUGGGCAAACAGCUGCGGAAAGACACUGGACUACGAAAAAAAACAGCUGAACUGAACCAACCAGUGUAUUACAAAGAUGUGCUGACCUCGGUAUGGAAACCUGGACAUGUAUUACGUUGGGGUAGGGGUUUUGCAUUUGUCUCCACAGGAGAAGAAAAUCUUUGGAUACCAUCAAAAUUGAUCAAGAUUCGAGUUGAGGGAGACAACCCCCUCGACAAGGAUGACUGACAGCCAUCAAGACCCAGACUGACAGCAAUCCCUGCAUGCUCCGGAAAAGGAAUUAGACUACACCUUCCCGACUACACUGGAUUCAACUCACUCCGUUUCGACUGACACUCCAACCAGAACCUCGAGUAACGACUUCAAUCAAGUUGAGGAUUUCAACGUAGAUCUUCAAUCAAACAAAUCAUAUAACAUGGACUAGACAUAACUCAUUAAAGACUUUCCCUAUACUGACAUUUUUUUCCACAGAGCCCCCACAUGACCAUCUUCGUCCCUUUUCAGCAGGAAGUAACCUAGAAGAUGCUACGCCCCCGUUCCCCAUUAUUGUGUAUUAGGGUAGUGUAAGCCUAGUUAAGAAUAACCUUCUUAUUGUUUAGAGUUGGGAUUGGAAGAAGGUGUUCAAGUUAGACACUUUUUUCACAUGACUUUAAGACUUAGCUAGAAUAGACAUAGGAUGUAUCAUAGCAGAUUAUUGUAUAUUCUUGUAUUCCACCCUUAUGAUUGUUAGUUUUGGAUAUUUUACACUAUUAAGUUUUAAUCCUCUCUUAGACUAAAAGGGGAAUUGUAGGGAGUCACCCUAGCCCCGCCCAAUAGUCCUGGGGCAGGUACCAGGUGGACCUGGGGACUCGCCCAUAAGGGCGGGGUGAAGGAAAGCCGGGAUGACGUAAAGGGGGCUUCUUAAGGGACUGCACGUGGGGACGGGGCUCUCUCUUUGUUCUGGCCACGCUGGCUGGGUUCUUAACCUAGCUCUGGCCUGUGUUUCACCCGGCUGUGCUUGGAAAUAAAGAGACCAUAAUCCAAUACAUACCCUCUCCACCAGACAGUAGCUUUUAGCUACUUUCGGAACUCACUAUGGGUGUACUACAGCUUAUGUAAUAACACUGCUUCCUCCAUUUGUUUGUCUUAUUUUAAAAUUACAUUAAAAAUACAUUUAUGUAUAUGUGUUCAACCAUGCCUCUCAGUGUACAUUCCUCAACACCAGGAUAAUGAGUGUGUGUGUGGGGGUACAUGCAUGUGCAUU
rnacentral:lncRNA from 1 species